UACAGGGGGGGCAAGCGUUGUUCGGAAUUACUGGGCGUAAAGGGUUCGUAGGUGGCCAACUAAGUCAGACGUGAAAUCCCUCGGCUCAACCGGGGAACUGCGUCUGAUACUGGCGAGCUUGAGUGCAGGAGAGGAACGCGGAAUUCCAGGUGUAGCGGUGAAAUGCGUAGAUAUCUGGAGGAACACCGGUGGCGAAGGCGGCGUUCUGGACUGCAACUGACACUGAUGAACGAAAGCCAGGGGAGCAAACGGG
rnacentral:rRNA from 1 species